rnacentral:rRNA from 1 species
CAGCCGUAAACUAUGCUCGCUAGGUGUCAGGGACGGUGCGACCGUUUCUGGUGCCGCAGGGAAGCCGUGAAGCGAGCCACCUGGGAAGUACGGUCGCAAGGCUGAAACUUAAAGGAAUUGGCGGGGGGAGCACUACAACGGGUGGAGCCUGCGGUUUAAUUGGACUCAACGCCGGAAAACUCACCGGGGGCGACUGUUACAUGAAACCCAGACUAAUGAUCUUGGUUGAUUUUCAGAGAGGAGGUGCAUGGCGUCAGUGACU